UGAGGAAUAUUGGUCAAUGGGCGAGAGCCUGAACCAGCCAAGUAGCGUGCAGGAUGACGGCCCUAUGGGUUGUAAACUGCUUUUAUGUGGGGAUAAAGUGCGUGACGUGUCAUGCAUUGCAGGUACCACAUGAAUAAGGACCGGCUAAUUCCGUGCCAGCAGCCGCGGUAAUACGGAAGGUCCGGGCGUUAUCCGGAUUUAUUGGGUUUAAAGGGAGCGUAGGCUGUCUAUUAAGCGUGUUGUGAAAUUUACCGGCUCAACCGGUGGCUUGCAGCGCGAACUGGUCGACUUGAGUAUGCAGGAAGUAGGCGGAAUUCAUGGUGUAGCGGUGAAAUGCUCAGAUAUCAUGACGAACUCCGAUUGCGCAGGCAGCUUACUGUAGCAUAACUGACGCUGAUGCUCGAAAGUGCGGGUAUCAAACAGG
rnacentral:rRNA from 1 species